rnacentral:rRNA from 1 species
GAUGAACGCUGCCAGAAUGCUUAACACAUGCAAGUCUUUGGCGAAGCUGUGCUUGCACAGCCUAGCCAAGGCGGACGGGUGAGUAACGCGUAAGGAACUUGCCCUGCAGUCAGGGAUAACAGACGGAAACGACUGAUAAGACCUGGUAAAGUCAGGCGGACUCAUGUCCAGCCUGAUGAAAAGAGAUGCUGCAGGAGAGCCUUGCGUCCUAUUAGCUUGUUGGUGGGGUAACGGCCCACCAAGGCGAUGAUAGGUAGCCGGCCUGAGAGGGUGGACGGCCACAAGGGGACUGAGAUACGGCCCUUACUCCUACGGGAGGCAGCAGUGGGGAAUAUUGGACAAUGGGGGCAACCCUGAUCCAGCAAUUCUGUGUGCACGAUGAAGGUUUUCGGAUUGUAAAGUGCUUUCAGCAGGGAAGAAAAAAUGACGGUACCUGCAGAAGAAGCGACGGCUAAAUACGUG